rnacentral:rRNA from 1 species
GACGAACGCUGGCGGCGUGCCUAAUACAUGCAAGUAGAACGCACAGUUUAUACCGUAGCUUGCUACACCAUAGACUGUGAGUUGCGAACGGGUGAGUAACGCGUAGGUAACCUGCCUGGUAGCGGGGGAUAACUAUUGGAAACGAUAGCUAAUACCGCAUAAUAUUAAUUAUUGCAUGAUAAUUAAUUGAAAGGUGCAAUUGCACCACUACCAGAUGGACCUGCGUUGUAUUAGCUAGUAGGUGAGGUAACGGCUCACCUAGGCGACGAUACAUAGCCGACCUGAGAGGGUGAUCGGCCACACUGGGACUGAGACACGGCCCAGACUCCUACGGGAGGCAGCAGUAGGGAAUCUUCGGCAAUGGACGAAAGUCUGACCGAGCAACGCCGCGUGAGUGAAGAAGGUUUUCGGAUCGUAAAGCUCUGUUGUAAGAGAAGAACGGGUGUGAGAGUGGAAAGUUCACACUGUG